CACAGAAUUCAUCGUGUUAUAUACUACAAUCCCCAUAUUACUGGCUCUUACUCUAGCUGCUAUGGGGUUCAUCUGGAAAAAGACUAAAACCUCAUCAGGAUCUGAGGAAGUGGAACAACAAACAAAGCAAAAUGGGGCUGAAACUGAAGAAGCUGUUGAUAUGGAAUGUUCUCCGUAUGCUAUGGGGACUGUAGAAGAGGAAAUUAAGUUUAUAUCUAAGCCGGAGGAUUUAAUACAGGAAGACCAACAAGAAUCCACAGGCAUCUAUUCAUCUGUGGAGUAGAAUGACUUGUAUGAACGCGGGCCUAAAAGGACACUGGAACACUUUGCCAAAGGGAUUUUUUUAACACAUUUGAGGAAUUGAAGAUGUUGAUAGUGAAUGUAGAUUGCAGUCUAACAAGUCAAUAGAAAAGUUUCUAAAAGGCAUAAGAUUCCUGUGAUCCACCAGCAAUAUCCUAAACAUAUUCUUUCAUCUUGUGAUCUAGCAGUUCAAUUUUCCACACAUACAGUAUAUUAUCUUUCAUAUUUUAAGAUUCUCUUACUAAUUAACUGUAUGAACUGCA